rnacentral:rRNA from 1 species
UCGGGAAUAUUGCGCAAUGGAGGAAACUCUGACGCAGUGACGCCGCGUGCAGGAAGAAGGUUUUCGGAUUGUAAACUGCUUUAGACAGGGAAGAAACAAGACAGUACCUGUAGAAUAAGCUCCGGCUAACUACUUGCCAGCAGCCGCGGUAAUACGUAGGGAGCAAGCGUUAUCCGGAUUUAUUGGGUGUAAAGGGUGCGUAGACGGGAAUGCAAGUUGGUUGUGAAAUCCCUCGGCUCAACCGAGGAAUUGCAACCAAAACUAUAUUUCUUGAGUGCUGGAGAGGAAAGUGGAAUUCCUAGUGUAGCGGUGAAGUGCGUAGAUAUUAGGAGGAACACCAGUGGCGAAGGCGACUUUCUGGACAGUAACUGACGUUGAAGCACGAAAGUGUGGGGAGCAAACAGGAUUAGAUACCC